GACGAACGCUGGCGGCGUGCUUAACACAUGCAAGUCGAACGGAAAGGCCCUUCGGGGUACUCGAGUGGCGAACGGGUGAGUAACACGUGGGUGAUCUGCCCUGCACUUUGGGAUAAGCCUGGGAAACUGGGUCUAAUACCGAAUAGGACCACGCGCUUCAUGGUGUGUGGUGGAAAGCUUUUGCGGUGUGGGAUGGGCCCGCGGCCUAUCAGCUUGUUGGUGGGGUAAUGGCCUACCAAGGCGACGACGGGUAGCCGGCCUGAGAGGGUGACCGGCCACACUGGGACUGAGAUACGGCCCAGACUCCUACGGGAGGCAGCAGUGGGGAAUAUUGCACAAUGGGCGCAAGCCUGAUGCAGCGACGCCGCGUGAGGGAUGACGGCCUUCGGGUUGUAAACCUCUUUCAAUAGGGACGAAGCGAAAGUGACGGUACCCAUAGAAGAAGCACCGGCCAACUACGUG
rnacentral:rRNA from 1 species